rnacentral:tRNA from 1 species
GUCAGGAUGGCCGAGUGGUCUAAGGCGCCAGACUCAAGGCUCUGUCUUCCUGCAGUUGGGAAUUCUGGUCUCCGUGCGGAGGCAUGGGUUCAAAUCCCACUCCUCACA